rnacentral:rRNA from 1 species
CCUACGGGUGGCAGCAGUAGGGAAUAUUGCACAAUGGGGGAAACCCUGAUGCAGCGACGCCGCGUGAGUGAAGAAGUAAUUCGUUAUGUAAAGCUCUAUCAGCAGGGAAGAAAAUGACGGUACCUGAGUAAGAAGCCCCGGCUAACUACGUGCCAGCAGCCGCGGUAAUACGUAGGGGGCAAGCGUUAUCCGGAUUUACUGGGUGGAAAGGGAGCGUAGACGGCAGUGCAAGUCUGGAGUGAAAGGCGGGGGCUCAACCCCCGGACUGCUCUGGAAACUGUACGGCUGGAGUGCAGGAGAGGUAAGUGGAACUCCUAGUGUAGCGGUGAAAUGCGUAGAUAUUAGGAGGAACACCAGUGGCGAAGGCGGCUUACUGGACUGUAACUGACGUUGAGGCUCGAAAGCGUGGGGAGCAAACAGGAUUAGAUACCCCUGUAGUC